GAUAAAAACACCGCUUGUUAACGACGUGAGACCCAGCACGAUUUUUGUUUUCCCACCAGAAUGAACAACGCCACACUUCAGUCAUUCCAAGUCUUUCUCACGGAGCGAUUGACUGCAGCUGCUUUUGAGAUAUUUGGAUUUGUGGAAAAAAUAAUAAUAGAUUACGAAGAGGAGGUUCAUCGGAAGGAGGAGAACCGAAGGCAGCAGAGGCUUCCGCGUUUGGUGUACCAACCAGAGAUAUUGCGCAGGGCGGGUCUGUGUUCCGCUUAACUUAAACAGUAUUUUAUUAUAUAGCGUUUUAGCGACCGACCCUGUCAGACGACGUGAUGCGAUACGGCCGCUACUCCGAGUCAUAAUCACGUGUGUUGGUGUAGCGUGGUUCUCUGCGUUGUGUGGUUUGUUGGUGUGAUUGACGACGCUGCGACGACCAGUCUCCAAGCAUCCAGCCGCCUCUGAAUCAGCUGAGGUGAUUUUCACUAAGCAGCAGGAGCACCAUCCACAGGAGUGGAGCCCCAGCGUGGACCAUGAGGACACGGGAACCUCAAGGAUUAAAGAGGAGGAGGACAAGGAGGCACGAUUGACCAGUUCAAUUGAGGAGCAGCCAUCAGCCAAAGAUAACGAUGAGGACUUCAAGCAUCCAAAGGCAUCUGAAUCAGCCGAGGGGAUUUCCACUAAGCAGCAGGAGCACAAUCAACAGGAGUGGAGUCCCAGCGUGGACUAUGAGGAAAUGGAAACAUCAAAUAUUAAAGAGGAGGAGUACAAGGAGGCACUCUUGACUAGUUCAAGUGGAGAGCAGCCCUCAGCCAAAAAUACUGAUGAGGGUGAUGCUUUAACAGAAGUUUUUUUCAGAACAGGGCAACAGUUGGAGAACAACGUGCCGACUAAAGGAAACAGUAAGCCGAAGCAAUCCUUCAUAAAGGGUUCUUACUGCUCUGAUACUGAAAAGAGGACCAUCAACCAUUGCUGCCAUAUUUGCAACAAAGUUUUCAAUAAAAAACUUGUGCUUGAUUGGCACCUCAAGACUCAUGGAAUAUACAGAGAAAAAUUUGACUGUAAGAUAUGUGGUCAACAUAAUCACUGCCAGAGUCAGCUGCAAAACCACAUGAGAGUCCAUACCGGGGAAAGACCUUAUCCUUGCCAGUACUGUAAGAAAUGUUUUAAAUUAAAGGGAGAUCUGACAAAUCAUAUAAGGAUCCACACAGGGGAGAUGCCUUUCAGCUGCUACGUCUGUCAGCGAUCCUUCAAAAGAAGUUCAAGUAUGAAGAGACAUGUUUCUUUAAUACACAAAGGAGUCAUUACAAAUGUGUAGAUUGUGAUGAAGGCAAGGGUUUUGGUGAAAAGGUACAUGGACAAAAUCUGUGACAUCCAACUGUCAAGCUGAAAGGAUGCCCCUCCAUUGCCCCUGAUGGCUACAUGAGGCUCUGAUAGGACAGUGCUGUCCAGACUGGACACAAGACAGAAGGGAAAUGGAAAGGCAGAUCAACAGCAAAAGCCACCCGUUAAUUUUCAGUUUCAGAAAAUGUGACUCACCAUGAAACCGCAUACGGUGGAAGAGGUUUAGUUUUGAGGAUUGUACUGCCAUACAUUCUGAAAUUGUGAACAAAUAA